UACGGAGGGACUAGCGUUGUUCGGAAUUACUGGGCGUAAAGCGCACGUAGGCGGAUUUGUAAGUCAGGGGUGAAAUCCCGGGGCUCAACCUCGGAACUGCCUUUGAUACUGCAAAUCUCGAGUCCGGAAGAGGUGAGUGGAAUUCCUAGUGUAGAGGUGAAAUUCGUAGAUAUUAGGAAGAACACCAGUGGCGAAGGCGGCUCACUGGUCCGGUACUGACGCUGAGGUGCGAAAGCGUGGGGAGCAAACAGG
rnacentral:rRNA from 1 species